rnacentral:rRNA from 1 species
UACGUAGGGGGCUAGCGUUGUCCGGAAUCAUUGGGCGUAAAGAGCGUGUAGGCGGUCCGGUAAGUCCGCUGUGAAAGUCGGGGGCUCAACCCUCGAAUGCCGGUGGAUACUGUCGGGCUAGAGUACGGGAGAGGCGAGUGGAAUUCCUGGUGUAGCGGUGGAAUGCGCAGAUAUCAGGAGGAACACCAAUAGCGAAGGCAGCUCGCUGGGACGUUACUGACACUGAGGCGCGAAAGCGUGGGGAGCGAACAGG